CCUACGUGUGGCAGCAGUGGGGAAUAUUGGACAAUGGGCGAAAGCCUGAUCCAGCCAUGCCGCGUGUGUGAAGAAGGCCUUCGGGUUGUAAAGCACUUUCAGUGGGGAAGAAAGCCUUGGGGCUAAUACCCUCGAGGAAGGACAUCACCCACAGAAGAAGCACCGGCUAACUCCGUGCCAGCAGCCGCGGUAAUACGGAGGGUGCGAGCGUUAAUCGGAAUUACUGGGCGUAAAGCGCGCGUAGGCGGUCUGAUAAGCCGGUUGUGAAAGCCCCGGGCUCAACCUGGGAACGGCAUCCGGAACUGUCCGGCUAGAGUGCAGGAGAGGAAGGUAGAAUUCCCGGUGUAGCGGUGAAAUGCGUAGAGAUCGGGAGGAAUACCAGUGGCGAAGGCGGCCUUCUGGACUGACACUGACGCUGAGGUGCGAAAGCGUGGGUAGCAAACAGGAUUAGAUACCCUUGUAGUC
rnacentral:rRNA from 1 species